GGGGACAUGGUCUAGGGGUAUGAUAUCUCAUUCGCAUCGACGUGAUUUGAGAGGGUCGGGGGUUCAAUUCCCCCUGUCUCCA
rfam:Glarea lozoyensis 74030 unplaced genomic scaffold M7I_scaffold23, whole genome shotgun sequence.